AUACGUAGGGGGCGAGCGUUGUCCGGAAUGACUGGGCGUAAAGGGCGUGUAGGCGGCUGUCUAAGUCUGGAGUGAAAGUCCUGCUUUCAAGGUGGGAAUUGCUUUGGAGACUGGAUGGCUUGAGUGCGGAAGAGGUAAGUGGAAUUCCCAGUGUAGCGGUGAAAUGCGUAGAGAUUGGGAGGAACACCAGUGGCGAAGGCGACUUACUGGGCCGUAACUGACGCUGAGGCGCGAAAGCGUGGGGAGCGAACAGGAUUAGAUACCCUGGUAGUCCACGCGGUAAACGAUGAAUGCUAGGUGUUGCGGGUAUCGACCCCUGCAGUGCCGGAGUAAACACAAUAAGCAUUCCGCCUGGGGAGUACGGCCGCAAGGUUGAAACUCAAAGGAAUUGACGGGG
rnacentral:rRNA from 1 species